rnacentral:rRNA from 1 species
GAGACUCUGUGCGCGUGCAUAUCAAUAAGCGGAGGAAAAGAAACUAACAAGGAUUCCCUAGUAACGGCGAGUGAAGCGGGAAGAGCUCAAAUUUGAAAUCUUCAAGGUUUCCCUUGACGAAUUGUAGUUUAAAGAAGUGUUUUCUGCUAGAGAGUUGGUAAAAGUUCUUUGGAAUAGGACAUCAUAGAGGGUGAGAAUCCCGUAUUUGACCAUUAUUUCCAGCUGUGUUAUACACUUUCAAAGAGUCGGAUUGUUUGGGAAUGCAGUCCAAGAUGGGUGGUAAAUUUCAUCUAAAGCUAAAUAUUGGCGAGAGACCGAUAGCGAACAAGUACCGUGAGGGAAAGAUGAAAGGAACUUUGAAAAGAGAGUUAAACAGUACGUGAAAUUGUCAAAAGGGAAGCGUUUGACACCAGUGUUGUUUUCUCGAAAAUCAAUUAAAAAUGAUGGGAUUUUGUGUUGUAUUGACUUUAUCAGCUUUCUGCACUUUUUUCCUAUCUUUUUUAAUGCACUUUUCGUUAACAAGUCAACAUCAAUUUCUUUUGUUGUAAAAGAGUCAUUGGAAGGUGGCUUUUCUUCGGAGAAAGUGUUUAUAGCCUUGUACCUCUGCAAUCGGAGAGAUUGAGGUCUGCAGCGUAGAUCCUUCGGGGUUAGAUACAUUUGUGCUAAGUUAUAGCUUUUCAUAGACAACAUUGUUGACUAUGAUUAAGUCAUUGUAGCUUACUCGCUGAUGCUAUUUUACCUACGCUUAGGAUGUUGAUCUGUAGUGCGUGCGC